UGUUGUUCUAUGAUAGUGGUUUCAUCUUCUAGAUUAGGCACUGAAACUGAUCAUUUUUUUAUUCCUUCAAAUUUUUUAUUCAGGGGCCUGGAUUUUUGGCUGUAUUCUGUAAUGGUUUUACUACCUUUUUUUUCAACUGUUAUUAAUUUUUUCAGAUUUAACACUAACUGACUGUCCACGGAUUCAGAUAUUCAAUCCCACAAUGAUUGGAAAUUUGUG
rnacentral:lncRNA from 1 species